rnacentral:lncRNA from 1 species
AACCAGGGCACCCCGCGCCGGCUGAGGAGGCCGCACCUCGCCGGACGGCUGAGGGCGGGCGACGGGCGGCGCCGGCGGACGGGCCGCGACGCCAGGGAAGGUCAGGCGGCCCGGGGCGUCCUGCGACUGCCCGAGGUCGGAGGCCCGGAGGACCCGCCGCCGCCUUUGUGUCACCAGCCCCCGCCCCGCUGGACUGGCCCGGGCCGGGGCGGUUGGGCCGGCGCUGAAGAGGCUUGGCCGCCCGGGUCCACCCGUUCCCGGAUCCGCCUCGGCGGCCCCCGCGCCCGCCCAACCCCUGCCCAACCCCUCGGCUCCGCGAGUUUGGGUGAGAAGUGCGGCGGCUUUUCCCAGGGAUGGAGUUUAGAGGACGCUAAUCCUAUGUGCGAGCGGCGGACCCCGCCCGGAUUUCCCGGAGGCGCCCGGUUAGUGAGGCGACGGCGCCCACCCGCGUUCGCGGGCUCCCGACCGCCACUCCCCGGAGCCGCCGGCCCGCCCCAGCCCCGCGCGUCGCCCCGGAGGGCGGGCUGCACUCCCUCCACGCACCUGGCUGGCAGAGCGUCUCCAGGGACAAAAGGUGCCCUGGCAUCAAAGCCGAGCCCCCGCCCCCGCCGGGAUGCUGCCCUCCGGAAGGAGGGGCGCUGCCCCCAAGAACACAGACCUGCCGAAACGACACAGGAUGGCGCUUUGCUUUUUGUUAGUUCUCCAACCUUCCAAACCCUUGGGGCACAUGCAAGCACUGUGGAAAAACUCCAUUAAACCAAGAGUCAUCUUACUCCAGAUCCCAGACUGCUUGGGAAGUUGGACAUGCAUAUUCCCAAAGAGAACAGUGUUGGAAGGAGACAGGAGAGCAGCUCGGGGGUUGGGGGUAGAGGGUAGGAAAAGAGGGCAAGAUGGAUGACUACCACUCGAGGCCAGCCUCCACUGCCUGUUAGGGCAGUAGAACCUAAGAGCCGGUCCAAGGCAACACAAAAGACAGUGAGGCUAGGUCUUUCAUUGCAGCCAACGAUCAAGAAAGCAACUCCAUCAAAUGACACUGUCUUUUAAAAAAAAAUUUUUUUUUUGAGACAGAGUCUCGCUCUGUCGCCCAGGCUGGAGUGCAGUGGUGCGAUCUUGGCUCACUGCAACCUCUGCCACCCGGGUUCAAGCAGUUCUCCCUGCCUCAGCCUCCUGAGUAGCUGAGAUUACAGGCACGCGCUACCAGGCCCGGCUAAUUUUUUUUUUUUUUGGUGGAGUCGAGGUUUUGCCAUGUUGGCCACGUUGGUCUCGAAUUCCUGACCUCAGGUGAUCCGCCCAUCUCAGCCUCCCAAAGUGCUGGGAUUUCAAGCGUUAGCCACCGCGCCCGACCAAAUGACACUGUCUUAAAUGAUUUAAUGUCUUAAAUCGGGAAAGGAGAGUAAGAGAAAGCACUCAACGGAGUCAGAGGUGUCUUGCAGCCUAGCUCUUUCCACAGACAAGCUACAUGGGCCUAUCAUCUAACCUUUUCAAGCUUCUCCGACUGCUUCUGUGUUGGAGGGAUUUGGGCUAGAGGAUCUUUUUAUUUUUUUUUAUUUUAUUUUGGUGACGGAGUCUCUCACUGUCGCCCGGGCUGAAGUGCAGUGGCGCAAUCUCAGCUCACUGCAACCUCUUUCUCCUGGGUUCACGCGAUUCUCCUGCCUCAGCCUCCCAACUAGCUGGGAUUACAGGCGCACACCACCACACCUGGCCUAUUUUUUGUAUUUUUAGUAGAGACGGGGUUUCACUAUGUUGGCCAGACUGGUCUCGAACUCCUGACCUCGUGAUCUGCCCACCUCGGCCUCCCAAAGUGCUGUGAUUACAGGCAUGAGCCACCGCACCUGGCCUGUGAUCCCAUUUUUCAAAGUAAUUAGGCUGGGUGCAGUAGCUCACGCCUGUAAUCCCAGCACUCUGGGAGGCCAAAGCGGGUGGAUCACUUGAGGCCAGCAGUUCGAGACCAGCCUGGCCAACAUGGUGAAACCCUGUGUCUACUAAAAAUACAAAAAUUAGCUCGGCAUAGUGGCACGUACCUGUACUUUCAGCUACUUGGGAGGUUGAGGCAGGAGAAUUCGCUUGAACCCGGGAGGCAGAGGUUGCAGUGAGCCAAGAUGGCACCACUGCACUCCAUUCUGGGUGACAGAGUGAGACCCUGUCUCAAAAAUAAUGAUAAUAAAAUAAAAGUAAUUAUUUAAGGCUGGGAGCGGUGGCUCAUGCCUGUAAUCACAGCACUUUGGGAGGCCGAGGUGGGUGGAUCAUGAGGUCAGGAGGUCGAGACCAUCCUGUCUAACACAGUGAAACCCUGUCUCUACUAAAAAUACAAAAAAAUUAGCCAGGCAUGGUGGCGGGCGCCUGUAGUCCCAGCUACUCGGGAGGCUGAGGCAGGAGAAUCGCUUGAACCCAGAAGGCGGAGGUUGCAGUAAGCCGAGAUCACACCACUGCACUCCAGCCUGGGUGACAGAGCGAGACUCCGUCUCAAAAAAAAUUAUUAUUAUUAUUUAAAAUAAUCAUUGGGCCUGGUGCGGUGGCUCACACCUGUAAUCCUAGCACUUUGGGAGGCCAAGGCGGGCGGAUCACGAGGUCAGGAGAUUGAGAUCCAACCUGGCCAACAUGGUGAAACCCCAUCUCUACUAAAAAUAUUUUUUUAAUUAGCUGGGCGUGGCGGCGGGCACCUGUAAUCCCAGCUAGUCGGGAGACUGAGGCAGGAGAAUCGCUUGAACCUGGGAGUCGAAGGUUUCAGUGAGCCGAGGUCGUGCCACUGCAAUCCACCUGGCCAACAGAGCAAGACUCUGUCUCUAAAAUAAUAAUUUUUAUUAUUGUUAUUCUUGACAGGCCAGUGUAGAACAGGUGGGGCAUCUAUGGUGACAGAACUGGGUUCCAAUUCUGUCCCUUCACCUGUCCCAGGUUCCUCAUCUGAAAACUGUGACCCAGUAAACCUAAUUUCAUGAGCAGCUUUCAUUAAAAUUGAAAUAAUGGUGGAAAAUGCCUUGUAACCGUGCUUGAUGUAGAGUAGUUACUUAGCCAGUUAUUUCCUCUCUUCUUCCCAUUCCUAACAAAAUGGAAAAACGUUUGGUUGCUAGGAAAGAGCCUUAAGGGGAUUUUGUUGUUGUUUGACUCUAUCGCCCAGGAUGGAGUGCAAUGGCACAAUCUCUGCUCAGUGCAACCUCCGCCAUAGACAGGAGCCAAGCGUAGUGGUGUGCACCUGUCGGUAGUUCCAGCCUCUUAGGAGGCUGAGGCAGGAGGAUUGCUUGAGGCCAGGAGUUUGAGUCUAGCUUGGGCAAUAUAUUGAAACCUUGUCUCUUAAAAAAAAAAAAAAAAAAGAGGCCAGGUGUGGUGGCUCACACCUGUAAUCCCAGCACAUUGGGAGGCCGAGGCAGUGGAUCACUUGACACCAGGAGUUCGAGACCAGCCUGGGCAACAUGCAAACUUAUGUCUUUUAGGCCGGGCGCGGUGGCUCACACCUGUAAUACCAGCACUUUGGUAGGCCGAGGCGGGCAGAUCACGAGGUCAGGAGAUCGAGACCAUCCUGGCUAAGAUGAAACCCAGUCUCUACUAAAAAUAAAAAAAAAUUAGCCGGGUGUGGUGGCUGGCGCCUGUAGUCCCGGCUACUUGGGAGGCUGAGGCAGGAGAAUGGCAUGAACCCAGGAGGUGGAGUUUGCAGUAAGCCAAGACAGCACCACUGCACUCCAGCCCAGGCAACAGAGCUAGACGCCCUCUCAAAAAAAAAAAAAAAUUACAUCUUUAAAAAAAAAUGCAGGGCCGGGUGCGGUGGCUCAUGCCUGUAAUCCCAGCACUUUGGGAGGCCGAGGCGGGCGAAUCACGAGGUCAGGAGAUCGAGAGCAUCCUGGCUAACACAGUGAAACCCUGUCUCUAGUAAAAAUACAAAAAAUUAGCCAGGCGUGGCAGCAUGCGUCUGUAGUCCCAGCUGCUGGGGAGGCUGAGGCAGGAGAAUGGCGUGAACCCAGGAGGCAGAGCUUGCAGUGAGCCAAGGUCCCGCCACUGCACUCCAGCCUGGGCGACAGAGCGAGACUCGGUCUCAAAAAAUAAUAAUUAACAAAAAAAAAAAAAUACAAAAGUUAGUUGCACAUGUUGCCAUAUGCUCGUGGUCCCAGCUACUCAGCAGGCUGAGGUUGGGAGAUCACUUGAGCCCAGAAGGUGGAGGUUGCAGUGAGCUGAGAACCCACCAUUGUACUCCAGCCUGCGUGUCAGUGAGAUUCUGUCUCAAAAAAAAAAAGAAAAGAAAAAAAAUCUAGGCUAUGCUCCCUAGUAUGGGAAAUCUAGUCUAGUCAUUUGACAGAAUCAGGCUUUGCAGGCCAUAUUGUCUCUGUCGUAACUACCAACUCUGCUGGUUAAAAGGGAAGUAGCCACAAACAAUAUCUGAAUGAUGGAUUAUGGCUGUGUUCCAAUAAAACUUUAUUUGCAAAAACAGGUUGCUGGUUGCAAGGUAGUUUUCCAACCUCUACGUGAUUCUCAGACUUUAGGUUGCAUCAUAAUCACCUGGAGGGCUUGUUCAAACGCAGAUUGCUGGGCCCCACCCCCAGAAUUUUUGAUUCAGCCAGUCUGGGGUGGGGCUGAUAUUUGUAUUUCUACCAACUUUCCAGGUGAGGCUGGCUGAUGAUGGUCUGGAAACCACUUUGAAAACCUCUGAAGCUUUUCUCAACUCCCUUCUUUGUGUACCUAAAACACUUUAUCCCUACUGUAGAUGUAGCAUUAGCGUGUUAUAUUAGUUUAGUGAUUGGUGUGUGGGUCUCUGGGAGCCUUUCUGAAUCACCUCCCUAGCCUAGUGCCUGACAAUAGCAAUUUGCUCCCCAUUCAUUGACUGAACUGAAACCGGAGGGUCAUGGUCAUCAUCAUUGUUCCAAGCCAUAGAUAGAAGAUGAAGUCACCACCCCUGAUCUCAGAGCUCAUCAGAGUAGAGCUUGGGCUGGACCCUGCCCUUCUCUGCAGUGAGCAGUUUUCUCUGUGGAGCUCUGUGCAACCUGGAGCCAGUCCUGCCUGGGGUAAGAGGAAAAAAGACUCCUUCCCCCCAGCCCCACAGCCUGUACGCAAACACACCGGGAGACAUGACCUGCUCAGAGGAGACCUGGAACCAAGGGAAUAAAAUGAGAGUGGGUUGGGGGCUGCUGUUAGUUAUUUUUUGCUUGUAAGUGGACAAUUUGUGGUGUGGUGUGUGAAUUUGGGGUCUUAAAUCCAGAUAGCUGUCUGCUGUGGACAGCCACUGUUUCUGAAUUACAGGGCAUUUCAAGUGACCUGUGGUCAGGAUGUUUUCUCAGAUCAGGCAAAAUCAAUUGGUCCUGAUAAUAACCAGGGGAGUUGUACUUUCCCUAUCUUGAGUAGAAGAAGCCACAGCUCCCGGGUCCACCUGCCUCUCCUGACUGCCCACCUCCUGGCUUUUUCUUUUUCUUUUUUUUUUUUUUUUUUUUGAGACGGGGUCUUGCUCCAUUGCCUAGGCUGGAGUGCAGUGGUGCGAUCUCAGCUCACUGCAACCUGGGCCUCCUGGGUUC